UUUGGAGUGUUUGGUAAGCUUUGGUCCUACAGAAGGGAGAAGUGAUUUCUUCUCUGUUACCAGGUUUAAAGCAACUAUAUCUACUGUUAUCUAUCCUUACUCAUGUGGAAUCAAAAGCCUGGAAGAAGUAUGGCAAAUUCUAGGAACAAACUCCAGAUGCAAAUGGCAGAAAAUGUGAAGAGAAAUGGCACUCUGAGGGAAUACCUUCAAAAUAUAAUUAAAGGGGCAUAAGGAAUCAAACAAGAUAAAUGAACCAAUAUCUUACCUGUGGUCAUGAGGCUUCUUCUCCCUGAGAACUGAGGUUAUCUCUGCUUUUCAAAAUAAAAUUAUAUUGUUCUUGUUUAAGCACUAACAUUUAUAUUUGAAAUCUGUUGGCACUGAAGUGCAAGACAUGCUUUCUGAUGGUAUUCCUACAUACUUUCUAUUUUCUGUUGGCUACAUAAUGAUAAUUGACACAUAAAACCAUGUUUUCCCUAGUUCCAAUAUCUGAGACUUGGAAUUUAAGCCAUUGCAUUGUAUUGCUUUUAUGACACUACCAUCAAGUAUGAUGAAUGGUGAAAUGAGACUUAAAGGGAGUAUCUAGGUUAAUCAAUAUUUAACCUUGUAUUUUUGAUCCUCAUUGUGUAUUUGCCUCUUCUCAGCCAUGAUUGUUCACUCUGGAUCUUGCAGCUACAGCAUAUGUGAAAUUUACAGCUGAGUUAAAUAGAAAUAUGUCUGUAAAUACAAUCCACUAAAGGCUAUUAAACAUGAAAAUAACACACCUGAUUCAAGAAGUGCUUAAGUCUCAAGGUGCCUGAAGACAAAGUUUACUGUGCUAAUGUUUUCCCUUGCUGUCAUCCCUCUUUAAGCAUAUAUGACCACAGGAUUAGACAUUUUAUUGUGUACAUCAGCUCUCAUGAUUCCUCAUACACUUUAUUUCAGACUCUAACGAAGACUUGCGUCCUCCAUUGUCUAACCCUAGAGAGGACAGAAAGAAAUGGACUUAAGUAUCUUGUUCCUCUAACAUUGUAACUAGAGUGAUUAAGGAAGUAUAUACAGAGCGAGACCUGAGAAAGAUUUUCACACUCAUCCUUCAAUAUGGUCUAAAACAUGCUAUCAGCUGAUGAAAUCAAAGUGGAACUACUAAAGAUGAGACUCAUGAGGACAUUUCAAUUCUUCUUCUGAUUUUAAGAAUAAAU